rnacentral:tRNA from 1 species
GUCCCUGUAGCGCAAUGGAUAGCGCAUUGGACUUCUAAUCUAAAAGUCAUGGGUUCGAAUCCCACCUGGGAUG